GCCUGAUUGGCUCAGUCAGUGGAGCAUGUGACUCUUGAUCUCAGGGUUGUGAGUUUGAACCCCAUGUUGAGCA
rnacentral:tRNA from 1 species